CCCAAAAUUAAGAGAGCUAUUGUAGAACAGUUGUCAGAACAAACUCAUUUAUGUGGCAAAAUAGUGAGAUGAAUUUAUAAUAGGGGUGAAAAACCUGUCAAACUUAAUGAUAGCUGG
rfam:Sarcophilus harrisii ctg7180002488899, whole genome shotgun sequence.